rnacentral:rRNA from 1 species
UUAAUGGAGAGUUUGAUCCUGGCUCAGGACGAACGCUGGCGGCGUGCCUAAUACAUGCAAGUCGAGCGAGGAUCUUCGGACCCUAGCGGCGGACGGGUGAGUAACACGUAGGCAACCUGCCUGUGAGACUGGGAUAACAUAGGGAAACUUAUGCUAAUACCGGAUAGGGUUUUGCUUCACCUGAAGCGAAACGGAAAGA